UACGUAGGGGGGCAAGCGUUGUCCGGAUUUAUUGGGACGUAAAGAGCGUGUAGGCGGCUUUACAGGUCCGUUGUGAAAACUCGAGGCUCAACCUCGAGACGCCGGUGGAAACCGUAAGGCUAGAGUCCGGAAGAGGAGAGUGGAAUUCCUGGUGUAGCGGUGAAAUGACGCAGAUAUCGGGAAGAACACCCGUGGCGAAGGCGGCUUCUGGGACGGUACUGGACGCUGAGGAGCGAAAGCGUGGGGAGCGAACAGG
rnacentral:rRNA from 1 species